UCCGUAGGGUGCAAGCGUUGUCCGGAAUUAUUGGGCGUAAAGAGCUCGUAGGCGGUUUGGCGCGUCUGCUGUGAAAACCCGAGGCUCAACCUCGGGCCUGCAGUGGGUACGGGCAGACUAGAGUGCGGUAGGGGAGAUUGGAAUUCCUGGUGUAGCGGUGGAAUGCGCAGAUAUCAGGAGGAACACCGAUGGCGAAGGCAGGUCUCUGGGCCACUACUGACGCUGAGAAGCGAAAGCAUGGGGAGCGAACAGG
rnacentral:rRNA from 1 species